GCCAGGGCUCUGCUGGUGGAGUGGGGAAAUGCAGCUGCAAUUCCAGGACACACAGAGACUGCACAUGUGCAGAAGUAUGCAGAGAGAAUGCAUCUUUCGUGUAAGAAAAACAGUUUCAAGUCCCUGUGCUUCGAUCGUGGAACUUAUUGUAUGAUAUUGUAGUCUUCCGUCCAUUAUGGGCAACGCUGAAGACACACAGCCCAGGGCACAAGUCACAUCCAGAACAGCCACAGCUCCCUCAACAAGGACUGUAAGGACAAAGCAAGGAGAAACAAUCCAAACCAAUUGAAACCAAUCCUAACUACAGUUUACUCCCAGACUUUGUAUUUUUAUGAGGAAAAACAAGCACAAAAGUACCUUACCUCUGUUUGCCUGGUAUCUGUUGUUCACAGCAAAUUCAACUCCUAAAUGAU
rnacentral:lncRNA from 1 species